GGGGUAAAAGUGAACCCGUAAAUGAAUAUUAACUAGGAAUAAUUAACCUAGUUGAAUAUUAGUAUCGUUGGUAUUAAACGAGGGGUUGUAGCCUUAUUUAAUUAAAACGAAACAUGGGGACCAAAGUGAACAACUUGAAAGUUGUUUUCUUAAAAUGUCUAAGUGUUUUAUAUAAUUAGAUAAGUUUAAAAGUAUCAAGAAAGUUUAUAAAACUUGGAAAAGGGUUAUUAGGUGACAACAAUAGAUAGCAUGGGGGUUGAAUGUGUAAGAUUGAUAAAUAACAUAAUAAAAUUAAAAACCCAGUAGUUGGGUGCGUGGUGGGUAUCGCGACCAGGAGGGGGAAAGAAAGGGUGAAACCCUACUUGUUCAAUCAAGGUCAAAAUUCAGCAAAUUAAUGGUGGUUCUUGUCACAAAUCGAAUGCAUGAGACUGGAUACAACUUAAUCUAAGUAUAUUGAUCAUAAGAAUAGGAAUCACAUUAGCAAGGACUCGAAAACGGAAGGUUAACGGGUCAAGCAGAGGCGAGGAAACAAGCGUGAACACUAACGCUCGAGG